GCGGACGUGGCGAAAGUGGCAGCCGCGCCAGCUCGAGGGGUUGGUGGUCUCCGUACCGUGAGGGUUCGAGUCCCUCCGUCCGCA
rnacentral:tRNA from 1 species